rnacentral:lncRNA from 1 species
UCCCUCUUCUUUGAUUGGGAGCUCCAUAUGAGUAUAACCUUUACAAGGUAAGUACAAGAUUUGUCCCAAAAAUAAUGGAUCAAGAACAAUGUUAGCACCUUUCACCGAAGACUUUAUUGUUUCAUUAAAGUAACUUAAAUUUAAAUAGAACUCUCUGACCAAAUCAACAUAAGUAUUUUUCUUCAAUAGACAAUAAAACUCCCACCCUUGACUUUUAAUUUAUGAUCCAACUGAGAACUCCUCUUUAUCAAAAAACUUAAAAUCUAUAUUCUUUCCG